rnacentral:rRNA from 1 species
GACGAACGCUGGCGGCGUGCCUAAUACAUGCCAGUCGAACGCACUCUCGUUUAGAUUGCCGGAGUUUGCUCCUGAUUGAUAAACAUUUGAGUGAGUGGCGGACGGGUGAGUAACACGUGGGUAACCUGCCCUAAAGUGGGGGAUAACAUUUGGAAACAGAUGCUAAUACCGCAUAAAACCUAACACCGCAUGGUGUAGGGUUGAAAGAUGGUUUCGGCUAUCACUUUAGGAUGGACCCGCGGUGCAUUAGUUAGUUGGUGAGGUAAAGGCUCACCAAGACCGUGAUGCAUAGCCGACCUGAGAGGGUAAUCGGCCACACUGGGACUGAGACACGGCCCAGACUCCUACGGGAGGCAGCAGUAGGGAAUCUUCCACAAUGGACGAAAGUCUGAUGGAGCAACGCCGCGUGAGUGAAGAAGGUUUUCGGAUCGUAAAACUCUGUUGUUGGAGAAGAAUGUAUCUGAUAGUAACUGAUCAGGUAGUGACGGUAUCCAACCAGAAAGCCACGGCUAACUACGUG